rnacentral:tRNA from 4 species
GACCCUAUCGUCUAGAGGCCUAGGACAAUACCCUUUCACGGUAUGAACCCGGGUUCGAAUCCCGGUGGGGUCGCCA